rnacentral:rRNA from 1 species
CCUACGGGCUGCACCAGUGGGGAAUAUUGCACAAUGGGCGCGAGCCUGAUGCAGCCAUGCCGCGUGUAUGAAGAAGGCCUUCGGGUUGUAAAGUACUUUCAGCGGGGAGGAAGGCGAUAAGGUUAAUAACCUUGUCGAUUGACGUUACCCGCAGAAGAAGCACCGGCUAACUCCGUGCCAGCAGCCGCGGUAAUACGGAGGGUGCGAGCGUUAAUCGGAAUUACUGGGCGUAAAGCGCAUGCAGGCGGCCUGUUAAGUCAGAUGUGAAAGCCCGGGGCUUAACCUCGGAAUUGCAUUUGAAACUGGCAGGCUAGAGUCUUGUAGAGGGGGGUAGAAUUCCAGGUGUAGCGGUGAAAUGCGUAGAGAUCUGGAGGAAUACCGGUGGCGAAGGCGGCCCCCUGGACAAAGACUGACGCUCAGGUGCGAAAGCGUGGGGAGCAAACAGGAUUAGAUACCCUGGUAGUC